rnacentral:rRNA from 1 species
AGAGUUUGAUCCUGGCUCAGAUUGAACGCUGGCGGCAGGCCUAACACAUGCAAGUCGAACGGUAGCACAGAGAGCUUGCUCUCGGGUGACGAGUGGCGGACGGGUGAGUAAUGUCUGGGAAACUGCCUGAUGGAGGGGGAUAACUACUGGAAACGGUAGCUAAUACCGCAUAAUGUCGCAAGACCAAAGAGGGGGACCUUCGGGCCUCUUGCCAUCAGAUGUGCCCAGAUGGGAUUAGCUAGUAGGUGGGGUAACGGCUCACCUAGGCGACGAUCCCUAGCUGGUCUGAGAGGAUGACCAGCCACACUGGAACUGAGACACGGUCCAGACUCCUACGGGAGGCAGCAGUGGGGAAUAUUGCACAAUGGGCGCAAGCCUGAUGCAGCCAUGCCGCGUGUAUGAAGAAGGCCUUCGGGUUGUAAAGUACUUUCAGCGGGGAGGAAGGUGUUGCGGUUAAUAACCGCAGCAAUUGACGUUACCCGCAGAAGAAGCACCGGCUAACUCCGUGCCAGCAGCCGCGGUAAUACGGAGGGUGCAAGCGUUAAUCGGAAUUACUGGGCGUAAAGCGCACGCAGGCGGUCUGUCAAGUCGGAUGUGAAAUCCCCGGGCUCAACCUGGGAACUGCAUUCGAAACUGGCAGGCUGGAGUCUUGUAGAGGGGGGUAGAAUUCCAGGUGUAGCGGUGAAAUGCGUAGAGAUCUGGAGGAAUACCGGUGGCGAAGGCGGCCCCCUGGACAAAGACUGACGCUCAGGUGCGAAAGCGUGGGGAGCAAACAGGAUUAGAUACCCUGGUAGUCCACGCCGUAAACGAUGUCGAUUUGGAGGUUGUGCCCUUGAGGCGUGGCUUCCGGAGCUAACGCGUUAAAUCGACCGCCUGGGGAGUACGGCCGCAAGGUUAAAACUCAAAUGAAUUGACGGGGGCCCGCACAAGCGGUGGAGCAUGUGGUUUAAUUCGAUGCAACGCGAAGAACCUUACCUGGUCUUGACAUCCACAGAACUUUCCAGAGAUGGAUUGGUGCCUUCGGGAACUGUGAGACAGGUGCUGCAUGGCUGUCGUCAGCUCGUGUUGUGAAAUGUUGGGUUAAGUCCCGCAACGAGCGCAACCCUUAUCCUUUGUUGCCAGCGGUUAGGCCGGGAACUCAAAGGAGACUGCCAGUGAUAAACUGGAGGAAGGUGGAGAUGACGUCAAGUCAUCAUGGCCCUUACGACCAGGGCCACACACGUGCUACAAUGGCGCAUACAAAGAGAAGCGACCUCGCGAGAGCAAGCGGACCUCAUAAAGUGCGUCGUAGUCCGGAUUGGAGUCUGCAACUCGACUCCAUGAAGUCGGAAUCGCUAGUAAUCGUAGAUCAGAAUGCUACGGUGAAUACGUUCCCGGGCCUUGCACACACCGCCCGUC